rnacentral:rRNA from 1 species
CCCUUAGAUGUUCUGGGCCGCACGCGUGCUACACUGAUGCAUUCAACGAGUCUAAAACCUGGUCUGAUAGGGCUGGGUAAUCUUUUGAAAGUGCAUCGUGAUUGGGAUAGAUGAUUGCAAUUCUUCAUCUUCAACGAGGAAUGCCUAGUAAACGCAAGUCAUCAGCUUGCAUUGAUUACGUCCCUGCCCUUUGUACACACCGCCCGUCGCUCCUACCGAUUGAAUGAUCCGAUGAAUACCAUGGAUUGAGAGUACGAAUAGGUUCGCUUAUUUCUGCUUCUCGAAAAGUGGAGUAAAUCUUAUCAUUUAGAGGAAGGAGAAGUCGUAACA